GGACCCAGCAAGUACUGGUGGAUUUCCCCCUCUGAGAGUGAAGAAUCAGAAGACCCAAGACUUGGCUUUUCCCCUACUUAGCAGUGAUUUGGGGAAAGCCCCUUAAUGUCCUUGACAGCCUGUAAAAUAAGGAAGUCGAGCACUCUAACAUCUCUUUUAUGUAUAGCUCUAGGAAGAUCUUUCAUUAUCCUAUGAUGCAAAACAGAAAACAAAACCAAAUGGAAUAUUAGUCAGCUUUUUACAAACUGGGUCCAUUGCUUUGGGCCAGAGACAAGGAAGAACACCAGGGUGGAAGGGCACAGCAGAGGGAAGCUGCUCUGCUCAUGAGAAAGAAAAAGAAGCCAGGGUCAAUCGAUACCUUUCGAGCCGUGCAUGGGGCGCACGCCUAUAAUCCCAGCAGCUCAGGAGGAUUAGGCAGGAGGAUCACAAGUUCAAAGCCAGCCUUAGCAACUUAAUGAGGCCCUAAGCAACUAAGCAAGACCCUGUCUCAAAAUAAAAAAUUUAAAAAGAGCAGGGGAUGUGGCUCAGUGGUUAAGCAUCCCUGGGUUCAAUCCCUGGUACCAAAAAAAAAGAAAUACCUCUCCAGGGCAUGCCCCUAUGCCCUACUUCUUCCAAUCAUGCUCUACCACCUAGAGUUUCCACCACCUCCUGUAGUCCACUCAGCUAUCAAUGAACUAAUCCACUGAUGAGGUCAGAGCCCUCCUGGUCCCUCACUACCCAAAAGCCCACCUCUGAACUUUGCUGCAUUGGGAAACAUGCCUUCAACACAUGAGCCCAACCAUACUAGGAUGUCGGCAUCCACAUGUUGGGUUAAGCAUUCUGUCUGUAAGUGUGAAGGGAGCUCAGAGAAGGAGGCUGGAGGAGCUUCCCGAGGCCUCCUAGAGAAGGACAGUGGGAUUUGAGGAGAUGGGAGAAGCUGGAGGCCUUUCUGAUGGAAGGGAAAAGAAUGGGCAGGUCACCACAAGAGCUAAGCAAGAUGACCUCAGUUAAUACAAAUGAGCAUUUUUUCAUUUAAUAGCUAUAUGUUUAUUUUAAUGUAUUAGGAGAAACAGAACUAGUACAUCAGAGCCAUGAUAUGAGAUAUUCUGAUAAAAUUAAUUUAGUUAUCAUAAAAUAAGUCUAUAUUAAGGAAAAGGAUAAAGUAAAUAAAAAUACAGAUUAUGUUUGGGGCAGUAAUCCAGAGUUUGGCAUGCAAAUGGUUGAAAGCCUAGGGAACUCUCUACUAAGGAAAUGCAUAGAAUUGACUAUGACCCAAGUUCGAGGGCUCAGUGAGAAACUCUGGACCAAAGCAAUGGUCAGUCUUUGAUCUAUUCAGCAGCAUGCGACAAAUAUUUACAGAAAGGUAACUGUAGGCUAAGUCCAUUUUCAGGUGGUUGGUGCCAAGAUCCCUAACCUUGUGGGGCUCCAGGGGAGGGGGGCAUGCAAGAAAUAAUAAGGACAACAAUUGGGAAACUGAUCUUGAAUGUUAGAAGAUAAGAAAUGUAAGAAAAUAGAGCAGACCAAGGGGACUGA
rnacentral:lncRNA from 1 species